CGCUCGUACUCUUCCUGCUCCUGCUUCAGGAUGAGCUGGAUGAAGAGCUGCUGCAGCUUCUCGUUGCAGUAAUUGAUGCAGAACUGCUCGAAGCUGGGGGCGGAGGGGCCGCUGAGAGUCAUGCCUCGACCGCCCACCUCAGGGCUUUGGCUCCACGGGGAGCGAGCGCAACAAAUGGCAGGCUUCCCCGCAAACAGAUCCCCAGAAGUCUGCCUGAGGGCGCUGGUGCCAGGCGUCCCAAGUGGCCUCUCUGUCAGGGAGCAUCUCCCGCUCCGGGCCGCUCUUUUACCCGCCUGCCCCCAAGUCCAGCACGCACGCCCUGGAGUGGAUCUGGGAGUCCCAGCGAGGGGAAGUGAGCCGAGAUAUCGCCUUCCCAGGCACCAGUGGACGGCGGCACAGCUGAGGCCGGCUUGAAGGCACGAGCCUGGGGCCAGGGACCGAUCGGCACUGACGCCGGACCCCCUGCUCCCCAGCCCAGCCGAGCUCCCCAGGACUAAGGCGGCCUUAGAGAGUGGGUGGGGUCAGGGUGUGGUGGCAGGGCUACCCACCUGUUGACAGGGAACACCUCGAAGCCGUAGAUGUCCAGCACGCCGAUGACUGUGUCCUUGCCGUCGCGUCGAGGGUCCCGGUCCCGGGGUUCCAUGACACGGUUGAUCCGGUCCACCACCCACUCAAACAGCCGCUGGUACACUGCCUGGGAAGAGGCCAGGAGCCAGCUGCCUCUGACUGCCUCUGGCUUCGUCUCCUCCGGGAAGGCCUCCAGGUUGCCCCCCCCCACCUCCAGAGCACCUUGGCACAGGCGUCCCGGGCAUAGCUGGCCUCAGCCGCAGUGUGGCCCUUCUCGAUGAGUUCCCUGCCUCCCGAGGCCACAGUGCGAGCCAGCAGGCAGCGCAGCACCAUCUCCCGGGGUGUGGCCGUCAGCUCAGCCACGUGGUCCACCAGCACCUCAUCAGUCACCGCCAGGCCCCUCUGCUCCAGACUGCCCUCCUCCGGCUCCACAAACUUGAUGUUUCCCUGGUGAUGCAGGAACCAUGAAGUCAGGCUCCGCGCCUCAGAGGAGCCUGCUGCACCCCUCUGCCCCUGGGGGGCGGGGGGAGGCAGGGACGCGGGGUACAGUAGAGCUUGGCUUCUACCACAUACACAGCCAGAGAGAGAGAGGGGAGCGCUUCCUGGAGCAUGCCAGAGCCUUCCCCAAGGCUUCCCACCCGAACGUCAUGCGAAUGGUCCCACUGCAUCCUUCUGCAGCUGGCUAUGUGCUACCCAUUCCUCAUGCUUCCUCAGAGAGAACUAAGGCUCAGAGGCGCUGAGUAACCUGCCCAAGGCCACACAGCUCUUAGGUGACGGAAGCAAAAGGCCAGUCUGCAUGUGUUCAGCUUUACUGAGCCCAGACUGCCCUUGCCUGCUAAGUCUGGGCUGACCUGCCAGACCAGGACGAGGCCCAUUCUGGGCACGCAGGGCCCACGGCUCAGGGCCCGGCCUGUGGGAACCCAGAGCCAAAGCAACUCAGUUUCAGCAGAGGGAGAAGUGGGCCGGUUACAUGGCUGGUUGUCAGAGGCCAGUCUCCUCCUGCAGGGGAGGCACCCGGCCAGGGCACCACGUGGGGAAACGGCCGCAGAGCCCACAGCCAGGCUCACCAGGUGCAGAAUGGCGGCCAGGAUCCGGUGCACGGAGGCCACCUCCUCAGGACUGAAGCCAAUCACCCGCAUGGCCUCCGUCACCGCCUGGUGGUGGCUCUUCUCGUCGCUGUCCAAGACCUGGGGGAGAAAGGUCCCAGCACCCAGUGCCACGCUGAGCCUCGACUCCUCUGUCCCAGUCUCCCCCUGCCUGCUUUGGCUCACCAGGUAGAAGGCAUGGAAGUUCCUCUCGCCCACGUGCUGCUUGAGGACCCGAGACUGAGGAGAGAGGAGCAGCUGGACAGAGGCCUGGAUGUUGGCCCCACCCCAGGGGACCUGUCCCAGAGCCCCUGGGGCAGUGCAGGUGGGGGUGGUGGCUGACCUGGCUUCAGGGGGAGCCCCGCCCAGUGAAGCUGGGACACCUGAGAAGCAGGUAGCUGUGGAUGUGUCCCCCCACGGGGUCUCCUUUGAAGUCAAAGUUGAUAUCCAUGUACUUGCCGAAGCGGCUGGAGUUGUGGUUGCGGUUGGUGCGAGCGUUGCCGAAGGCCUCCAGCACGCAGGUGGACUUGAGCAGCACGUCCUUGACCCUGCGGGGGGCAGAGGGGCUGAGGGGCUGUAGCGCAAAGACCUCGCGCUGGGGGCCGUGCCCAGGUCCAGCAUCCCCGUCUGAGGCUUCCCCAUCACAGGAGGAGAGGGAGCCUGAGGGCCUGGCCUCACCCUGCGCUGCCCCUUGCAGGCCUUUGACUCUGAGAUGCUGGGAAAGGCACCUGCGGGGGCUCACGUCGGUUGUCCUGUAAAGCCUUGAGCCUUGAAAGGCAUUGGCCCUGCCUUUCCAGACCAAAGCUGCAGCCCAGUGAGGAGCUGGGUCUGCACGCUCGGCGCUGCCAGCCGUGUAUGCUUGGGAACUUCCAUCGCUGUUCCCACCCCGCUCCUGCCCCGAACCCCACCUUACCCCACCUCAACAGGAGGAGCCGGGGCUCCCACACAGCCCCUACAAAUCCCCGCUGGUGAGCAGCUGGCAGGCAGGUGGGCCCUGGGUUCCUGACCCAAACCCUGACACCCGGCCUGGCAUCCUGGGCCUUCCUGACAGGCCAGCCAACCUCUCCACUUCCAUCAGGUCCCGGUGAGGCCUCGGCACCCAUCUGUCGGCCCUCUGCACCUCACUCCCUUCCUGUCCCUAGGGGAAGGGCACCCACGUGCUGGGCCUCGCCUCUCCUGGGGUCGAGAGGUCCGGGCUGCGGCUCACCUGGAGGCUUGCUGACAGCCACUGAACUGGGCCUGAGCCGGGCUCCAUCGUGUCUCUUGCCCCCAUCAGGCAGGAGGCCCCUCCCCACCCCCUCCCCAGCCUCACCUCUCCACCUCGGCCCUCUGGCUCGGGUUGGUGACGGCAGCGAUGUACUGCAUGAUGUGCCUGCUGGCUUCCGUCUUCCCUGCCCCACUCUCCCCUGCCGGAAGGAAGAACAGUCAGACAAUUUCUGGCUGCUUCCCCUUAACCAGCUCCCGGUGCCCAUGCCCACUCCCAGGUGCUCCAGUCACCUCCCCAUCAUUGACAGAUGAAAACACCGGGGCGCAGGGAGGCUGUGAGCCAGAGCCUGGGCCCUGGCUGCAGGGCAGGUACCUGAGAUAACAAUGCAGGUAUCCCUGGACCGGCGCUUCAUCGCCCUGUAGGCAGCGUUGGCCACAGCGUACAGGUGGGGCGGCCGCUCAUAGAGCUCGCGUCCCUGGUACCUGGCGAUGGCCUCGGGCCCGUACAGGGGCAGCUCCUGGUAGGGGUUCACGGACACCAGCACUUCACCGAUGUACGUGUAGAUGUGGCCCUUCUCGAACCUGGCACAGGCAGGGCCAGUCCUCAGUGCUCGGGGCCUCGGGGACACACACCUAGGUCCCGGGGCAUUGGGCCCAGGCGGGAAGCCUUGGGGCCCUGGCCCACCCCCAGGGCUGAGAGUAGACGAGGGAGUCGGGGGGGGGGGGGGGAGAGAGGGUGCCGGCUGACUUGAGACUUCCUGGUGCCGUUUGCCGGGAGUCGCACCCCACACGAGGUGGUGGUGGGAUCCAAGCUGCUCUCCACGGGGAUCCUGAUGUCACGGGAAUCAUGACUACCCACUUCAUUAAGGGACUGACUUGCCCCAGGCCUCACUGGCCAAGGCAGAGCUGGCAGUGUGGGAAGCUGGGUUGAGGACCAGAGCAGAUGGGGGUGGGAGGCGGAGGGAGGGGCCUCCAGCUGUUUCCGCCUCAAGACCUGGGCGGGGACCCAGAAGCAGAAGCGACCCAGCCCAGCCCCACCCAGACAGCAGGGACUGGGAGGGGUGCCACCACCCUCCCCCCGGGCGCCUCCUCAGAGUUCUGGGCGCUUCCCUGCAGGAGCCUAGUCACCCGGAAGGGUGCCUGUGUGCAUCAUCCCUCCCUCGACCCUUCUGCCCUGGGAGGAGCCUGCUGCCCUGCCGGACCCGCCCUGCCCCUGACAGCCGGUCCCGGGUUCCUCUUCCUCAGCUACCUCAGACGGACGCGGGAGUUCCCUGGCUUGGCUCCCUGCAUACCCGGGACCUGCUGGAGACAGACUCUCCCAUCUGCAAGCUGUGUGGCCCCAGGCUCGGGGUUCCAUCGUUAAUACGGAGAUGGUAAUACCUGUCUCAGAAGCUAGUUUAUAGGAAUGAAGUGAAAUCAUGCUUAGCUCUCUGCCGCUAAGAGAGCAGCUCAUUUCCUGUCUGACUCUCCAUCCCACAGCCCUGACCUUGGCUCAGGGCCCGCCUGUGCCUGACUUCAGCAAUUGGGGGUCAGUGGGACCUGUCCCCAAGCUCUGCACAGUCACCUUCUACUCUCCCUGGCUGUCCAGGGAUGAAGCCAGCUCCUGGUGCCACGACCAACUCCUCCCUGCCCUCUGCCCUCUGGCAAAUAGGGCCCCGUGUCUCUUCUACCGGCCAUGCCCUGAAGCACUCCACAUGCCCCCCUGAGAGUGUCAUCUCAGCUUGUCCACCUGCACCCCCCAGGGUGGGCCCUGACCACUUCCUUUGGAGCCCCCAGGGCCCAGCACAGCCCCACUAGGGGGACGGAGCAUCCACCCGGUCCGGGGGCCUGGCACCUGCCAGGAGGAGGGGUCAGGAGGCACCUGGGCUGUGUGGAAGGCCCGGGUCUGGGAAGCCUGCUCUAGCACUGGCUGGUUGCCCUGGCCCUGAGGCGACAGUCCUUCCUGUCCCAACGUCCCCCUGCAGUCACGCAGACAGCGGGCUGGGGCUGGCAGAGACCAGCGGGAGUGGGGAUGGGGAGAAGGGGAGCCCCUGCCCUAGGUCUACCUGAGCUUCAGGUUCUCCAUGAAGUCUUCCAUGGUCACUUGGUCCAAAAGCACAAAGUCGGGCUUGCUGCACUCAGGGCCUUCGUCCUCCAUCCUGCCGGCGGGAAGCACCCAGGCCAGGUUGCCCCGACCUUCCUGUGCAGAGCAGCUCAAGGGAGGGGUGCUCUCGCACAGGCCCAGCCCUCCCUCCCGCUGCCAGUGUGGUGAAGUAGGAAGUGGGUUCUUGUGGCCCCAGGGAGGGUUUGCCCUCCCUGCCUGCCGUCCCAAGGGGCUCUGAGCCGUGCUUCCUGGUUCCCCUCAGGGCGUGCCUCACGGUGGAAACUCCGACCCUCUGUGAUCUCACCCUCGCCCCAGGCAGCCGCGUCUCUGCGGUCCCCAGCCCUGCUGCGCCCAGGCCACGGGUGGGCCCCUGAGCAGGGUUUUCUUGACAUGGCGGUGGCCGCAAAAGCCGUCAGCUCUCAGACCUCAGCACUAGGCGGAUUUUCGGGUAGGUACAUUGCACCUCGACGAGGUGAACAAAUGCCGACACCCAGGCCUUUGGGGCAGGAGCCUAGGCAGUACUCCUUCCAAGUGUGACCACGCCGCGAUGUGAACCACAAAGCCAGCUUCCAGGCUUAGCCCGCCACAGCCACGGGGCUGGUGGUCUGGGUUCGUCAUGCCGAGACCCAGUCUUGCCACUGGUCCAGGCUUCCGGAUGUUUCCCAAAAGGGUCCUUUGUGUCCUCGGGGCCCGCCUGCCUGUCUCUCUAGUAGUGAGACCCAGGAGCUGCGCCAGGAGCCCUCCUGUCCCACCUUGGCCCUCACCUCCCAGAGGUGUGGCCUCACUCCUCUCCGUGGAGCAGGCGGGCCCUUGACAAGUGGCCAGACGGGCCAGCUCAGACUUCGACCACACGGCGUCCGGGUUGGGGACACGAGGCAGUUCUCUCUCAUCCCUCCCCUCGCACAGGGAAGACAGCGCAUUUCCCAAGUUUGAGUCAUCCGUGUACUACCUUUGGGAUUCUCUACUCAAAAAGCUAGUUUAUUUAAGAACUGUCUUUCAGUCAAGUCACUUUUUUUUUUUUUAACCUGAAUGAAUAAAAGAAUUUAUUCUAUGACAUUUAGGGUCUAGACUAGAAUACAAUUUGGGGUUCAUUUUAGCUCGAGACUAGAAUAAAAUUUCUAACCAAGCGUGAUCAAAAGUCUCUUUUUUUAAAUCAAGUUUUAUUGGAGUAUAGCUGCUUUCUAAUGUGUUAGUUUCUACUGUACAGCAAAGUGAAUCAGCUACACGUGUACAUAUAUCCCCUUUUUUGGAUUUCCUUCCCAUUUAGGUCACCACAGAGCAUUGAGUGGAGUUCCCUGUGCUAUACAGUAGGUCCUCAUCAAUCAACUCACUUUUUAAACUCUGAAACAUUGUUUGAUAUGCAAGGGUUUUUUUCCUUCAGAGACUUUAAAACGAAUACAUAUCUAAUGAAAUUGUAAAGUGCUUAUUUUCAAACGCCUGAUAAAACCAAGCCUCACAGCACUGCGCCCAUUGUUCUGAGGGGACCCUCCCGUCCGGACCAGGCUUUGGCUCCACCCUGCGCCAGGCCUGGGGCUUCUCGUCAGCAAGUUCUGGUCAAGUUUCAUCCUCCCAGUCUCUGAAGACUCCCUUCGCACCCCCUGCCUCUUUGGCUGGUGCUUUUGAAGGGUUUUCCAAACCAAAGCUCAAGAGUACCUGGGGAGUUCUCACAGAGCCUCAAGGUUUCACUUCCCCAAUCUCUGGGCCUGGGGUUUGCAUUAAAUUAACAAGUGAAAAGGAUG